UGUAUUUCAGUAUAAGAAGCUACAGGUUGCUGGCUGGUGCCAGGAAGUUUGUCCCAGAUCAGUGUUUCAGAUAAGAAAUGUAUAAGUAUCUCUUCAAUUGUCAGUAUGUAUGAGAUUCUUGCUGAGGACCUCCAAAGUAUUGUAAAUGCAUGAGUUUGAUUGG